rnacentral:tRNA from 1 species
GCAGUGGCUCAACUGGUAGAGCAUCGGUCUCCAAAACCGACGGUUGGGGGUUCGAGUCCCUCCUGCC